rnacentral:rRNA from 1 species
AUACGAAGGGUGCAAGCGUUACUCGGAAUUACUGGGCGUAAAGCGUGCGUAGGUGGUUGUUUAAGUCUGUCGUGAAAGCCCUGGGCUCAACCUGGGAAUGGCGAUGGAAACUGGGCGACUAGAGUGUGGCAGAGGGUAGUGGAAUUCCUGGUGUAGCAGUGAAAUGCGUAGAGAUCAGGAGGAACAUCCGUGGCGAAGGCGACUGCCUGGGCCAACACUGACACUGAGGCACGAAAGCGUGGGGAGCAAACAGGAUUAGAUACCCUGGUAGUCCACGCCCUAAACGAUGCGAACUGGAUGUUGGGUGCAAUUUGGCACUCAGUAUCGAAGCUAACGCGUUAAGUUCGCCGCCUGGGGAGUACGGUCGCAAGACUGAAACUCAAAGGAAUUGACGGGG